rnacentral:rRNA from 1 species
AUGAGACACGACAGUACCCCGCUAAAGCACACCACACCACAUGCAGCUGGAAAAUCCUUUUCACAUCCUCCAUUGUUGACGUUUGUUUUGUCAUGGCGUACGUGUUUUCUCGAUCGGAAAAGAAGAACGAACCAAGGAAAACAUCUGUCGUCACGCAGAGCACGCGCGGAUCCAAGACGCGCAAGAGAAAAUGAUAGGGCCAGAUGGGCAUCAAGAUACGUGCAAUGUUGUGCUGUGUUUUUCCUUUCUUUGUUUACAACAAUGCGGCGACUUUUAUACUGUAAUGUUUUUCUUUGGAAAUGUUUUUCCUUCUUUUGUGUCGCCUUCAGUUCCAUGGGAGAUGUGAGAACGGCGUGGGUGUUUUCUUUCACGGCAUGGCCUGUGAGGCUAUGA